rnacentral:rRNA from 2 species
UCGGGUACACGAGCGGCGAACGGGUGAGUAACACGUGAGCAACCUGCCCCCGACUCCGGGAUAAGCGGUGGAAACGCCGUCUAAUACCGGAUACGACACACCGCCUCAUGGCGGUGUGUGGAAAGUUUUUCGGUCGGGGAUGGGCUCGCGGCCUAUCAGCUUGUUGGUGGGGUAACGGCCUACCAAGGCGAUUACGGGUAGCCGGCCUGAGAGGGCGACCGGCCACACUGGGACUGAGACACGGCCCAGACUCCUGCGGGAGGCAGCAGUGGGGAAUAUUGCGCAAUGGGCGAAAGCCUGACGCAGCGACGCCGCGUGGGGGAUGACGGCCUUCGGGUUGUAAACCUCUUUUACCACCAACGCAGGCUCCCAGUUCUCUGGGGGUUGACGGUAGGUGGGGAAUAAGGACCGGCUAACUACGUGCCAGCAGCCGCGGUAAUACGUAGGGUCCGAGCGUUGUCCGGAAUUAUUGGGCGUAAAGAGCUCGUAGGCGGCGUGUCGCGUCUGCUGUGAAAGACCGGGGCUUAACUCCGGUUCUGCAGUGGAUACGGGCAUGCUAGAGGUAGGUAGGGGAGACUGGAAUUCCUGGUGUAGCGGUGAAAUGCGCAGAUAUCAGGAGGAACACCGGUGGCGAAGGCGGGUCUCUGGGCCUUACCUGACGCUGAGGAGCGAAAGCAUGGGGAGCGAACAGGAUUAGAUACCCUGGUAGUCCAUGCCGUAAACGUUGGGCGCUAGGUGUGGGGACUUUCCACGGUUUCCGCGCCGCAGCUAACGCAUUAAGCGCCCCGCCUGGGGAGUACGGCCGCAAGGCUAAAACUCAAAGGAAUUGACGGGGGCCCGCACAAGCGGCGGAGCAUGUUGCUUAAUUCGACGCAACGCGAAGAACCUUACCAAGGUUUGACAUCGCCCGUGGACCUGUAGAGAUACAGGGUCAUUUAGUUGGUGGGUGACAG